rnacentral:ribozyme from 14 species
AAAAAAGCAGAAAAAAAUACAAAACCAAGAUAGAUACGUGUAUGAUCGAAUCAUUUUCCUCCGUUUUUUAACUUUUUUCAGUAGCUCGAGCACGAUUUUCUCUUUUCUUU